rnacentral:rRNA from 1 species
AUGACAAGCACCCUGUGCUUGGCCGCUCUCGUGGUCAUGGCCGUUCUAUCGUCAUGUCUCGCAGAGAAUGAAGGAUGCGUGCCGAUCAAGGGGUACUGCCCUGAAGAGGACUGCAGGAAUUUCUGCAUGAGAAGUCGAUACAGAGGCCGUUGCAUCACCAAAGGCACGAUGCCCUACUGCUGCUGCGGUCAUUUUACUACCCCACCCGGACCCGGACGACGGUCGCCGCUGGAGUGA